UUCGAUUCCUUCGAUCCUGACCGGCUCAAGAUUGACUCAGCCUUCCAUCUUUCCGAGGUCAGUAAAAUGAAGACCCAGACUGUUGAGGGGCAUAUGCUGACUUUGUAAACUGUUUAGAGAGGUCCAUAAAGCACUACGAAGCAGUAUAUACGAGUGCAUAGCCGUUGCCAACAAAUAAUGCUUAUGGAAUAUGAAGUAGGACUGGGAUUAAACUGUGAAGUCCCUCUGUUCAAACAGAUUGGAACCUCAUUCAGAUUGAGUGCUUUCCAAGCUUUGCAACAGGCAAAUUCAUUACUGAAAUAAAGGAAGGAAGGAACACAUAAAUGAAUUUUGUC